rnacentral:rRNA from 1 species
GAUGAACGCUGGCGGCGUGCCUAAUGCAUGCAAGUCGAGCGAACAGAUAAGGAGCUUGCUCCUUUGACGUUAGCGGCGGACGGGUGAGUAACAAGUGGGUAACCUACCUAUAAGACUGGGAUAACUUCGGGAAAACGGAGCUAAUACCGGAUAAUAUUUCGAACCGCAUGGUUCGAUAGUGCAAGAUGGUUUUGCUAUCACUUAUAGAUGGACCCGUGCCGUAUUAGCUAGUUGGUAAGGUAACGGCUUACCAAGGCGACGAUACGUAGCCGACCUGAGAGGGUGAUCGGCCACACUGGAACUGAGACACGGUCCAGACUCCUACGGGAGGCAGCAGUAGGGAAUCUUCCGCAAUGGGCGAAAGCCUGACGGAGCAACGCCGCGUGAGUGAUGAAGGUCUUCGGAUCGUAAAACUCUUUUAUUAGGGAAGAACAUACGUGUAAGUAACUGUGCACGUCUUGACGGUACCUAAUCAGAAAGCCACGGCUAACUACGUG